CCCCUAGAUGUUCUGGGCCGCACGCGCGCUACACUGAACAGUUCAACAAGUCUUAACCUUGGCCGAUAGGUCUGGGUAAUCUUUGAACGCUGUUCGUGAUUGGGAUAGACCUUUGCAAUUAUGGGUCUUCAACGAGGAAUUCCUAGUAAACGCAAGUCAUCAGCUUGCAUUGAUUACGUCCCUGCCCUUUGUACACACCGUCCGUCGCACCUACCGAUUGAAUGGUCCGGUGAAAUCUCGGGACGGCGGCUCGGUCGCUUGCGUCCGACUGCUGAAACUUGAUUAAACCAUAUCAUUUAGAGGAAGGUGAAGUCGUAACA
rnacentral:rRNA from 1 species